rnacentral:rRNA from 1 species
GACGAACGCUGGCGGCGUGCUUAACACAUGCCAGUCGAACGGUGAAGCGCCUUCCUUUUUGGUGGGUGUGGAUGAGUGGCGAACGGGUGAGUAUCACGUGAGUAACCUGCCACCUUCUUCUGGAUAACCGCAUGAAAGUGUGGCUAAUACGGGAUCUUCUGGGUCUGUCGCAUGAUGGGUCUGGGAUAGAUAUUGUUUCGGCGGGGGAUGGGCUCGCGGCCUAUCAGCUUGUUGGUGGGGUGAUGCACUAUCAGGCCGGUGCCGGGUCGCCGGCCUGAGGGGGUGGACGGACACACGGGGACUGAGACACGGCCCAGACUCCGACGUGAGGCAGCGGCGGGGAAUACUGCACAACGGGCGCAAGCCUGAUGCAGCGACGCCGCGUGAGGGAUAGAGUCCUUCGGGUUGUUAACCUCUUUCGCCAUUGAAGCAUGCCCGCCUCUUUUGUGGGUGGGUUGACGGUAGCUGGAUAAGAAGCGCCUACUAACUACGUG